rnacentral:rRNA from 1 species
GACAGAGGUGCCAAGCGUUAGGCGGAAUCACUGGGCUUAAAGCGUGUGUAGGCGGAUGCCUAAGUACCUUGUGAAAUCCCACGGCUCAACCGUGGAACUGCUUGGUAUACUGGGUGUCUUGAGCCAUCUAGGGGCUACCGGAACAAAUGGUGGAGCGGUGAAAUGCGUAGAUAUCAGGAAGAACACCCGUGGCUAAGGCGGCUCUCUAGUACGGUACUGACGCUGAGACGCGAAAGCGUGGGGAGCGAACAGG